CCCUUAGAUGUUCUGGGCAGCACGCGCGUUACAAUGACAAAGUCAACGAGUAGAUCCGUUACUGAUAAGUACCGGUAAUCUUUUCAGUCUUUGUCGUGAUGGGGAUAGACCCUUGUAAUUAUUGGUCUCCAACGAGGAAUUCCUAGUAAACGCAAGUCAUCAACUUGCAUUGAUUACGUCCCUGCCCUUUGUACACACCGCCCGUCGCUCCUACCGAUUGAAUGAUCCGAUGAAUAUCAUGGACUGAGAGUGUUAGAGUUUUCGGACUUCUACACUUCUCGGGAAGUGAAGUGAAUCUUAUCAUUUAGAGGAAGGAGAAGUCGUAACA
rnacentral:rRNA from 1 species